CUACGGGCCGCUCCAGUAGGGAAUUUUCGGCAAUGGGCGCAAGCCUGACCGAGCAACGCCGCGUGAGUGAUUAAGGCCUUCGGGUUGUAAAGCUCUGUUGUAAAGGAAGAACGAUCAGUAUAGGGAAUGAUACUGAUGUGACGGUACUUUACCAGAAAGCCACGGCUAACUACGUGCCAGCAGCCGCGGUAAUACGUAGGUGGCAAGCGUUAUCCGGAAUUAUUGGGCGUAAAGGGAGCGUAGGCGGUUUAUUAAGUCUAUGGUGAAAGUACGGGGCUCAACCCCGUAUGGCCAUAGAAACUGAUAGACUAGAGUGCAGAAGAGGGUAGUGGAAUUCCAUGUGUAGCGGUAAAAUGCGUAGAUAUAUGGAGGAACACCGGUGGCGAAGGCGGCUACCUGGUCUGUUACUGACGCUGAGGCUCGAAAGCGUGGGGAGCAAAUAGGAUUAGAUACCCGCGUAGUC
rnacentral:rRNA from 1 species